rnacentral:rRNA from 1 species
UACAGAGGGGGCAAGCGUUGUUCGGAAUUACUGGGCGUAAAGGGCGCGUAGGCGGCCUUCUAAGUCGAACGUGAAAUCCCUGGGCUCAACCCAGGAACUGCGUCCGAUACUGGAAGGCUUGAAUCCGGGAGAGGGAUGCGGAAUUCCGGGUGUAGUGGUGGAAUGCGUAGAGAUCCGGAGGAACACCAGCGGCGAAGGCGGCAUCCUGGACUGGUCCUGACACUCAGGAGCGAAAGCGUGGGGAGCGAUCCGG